rnacentral:sRNA from 1 species
UGGGUUAGUCGAUCCUAA